CCUACGGGAGGCAGCAGUGGGGAAUUUUGGACAAUGGGCGCAAGCCUGAUCCAGCCAUGCCGCGUGCAGGAUGAAGGCCUUCGGGUUGUAAACUGCUUUUGUACGGAACGAAAAGGUUUGGCCUAAUAAGCUGAGCUCAUGACGGUACCGUAAGAAUAAGCACCGGCUAACUACGUGCCAGCAGCCGCGGUAAUACGUAGGGUGCGAGCGUUAAUCGGAAUUACUGGGCGUAAAGCGUGCGCAGGCGGUUAUGUAAGACAGAUGUGAAAUCCCCGGGCUCAACCUGGGAACUGCAUUAGUGACUGCAUAGCUGGAGUACGGCAGAGGGGGAUGGAAUUCCGCGUGUAGCAGUGAAAUGCGUAGAUAUGCGGAGGAACACCGAUGGCGAAGGCAAUCCCCUGGGCCUGUACUGACGCUCAUGCACGAAAGCGUGGGGAGCAAACAGGAUUAGAUACCCUGGUAGUCCACGCCCUAAACGAUGUCAACUGGUUGUUGGGUCUUCACUGACUCAGUAACGAAGCUAACGCGUGAAGUUGACCGCCUGGGGAGUCGGCCGCAAGGUUGAAACUCAAAUGAAUUGACGGCGNGAGAGNGCGAGGACGACGACGAGGGAGGAGG
rnacentral:rRNA from 1 species